CCACCAGCCAGCCUUUUCCUCUUGCAAGUUCCCUCUCUCUCACUAGAGAGAGAGAGCUGUUUUUCUUUCUCUUUCUUUUGUCUAUUAAACCCCUGCUCCUAAACUCGUGUGUGUCCGUGUCCUAAACUCUCCUGGCACCAGAAGAACCCUGAUUAUUUACCCAGACAACUGUAGCUGCUUCAAAGAACUACCUACAGAAUCAACUGGGAACAGAGCCACACCCUUUUUUCCCCCAAACACAAAACCUUUGAUUCUUUUCAGAAUAAAAUUUGGCAAAGCAAAGAGUGAAAAAGCUUGAGAAAAGCACAGCCAAUCUAGUUUAAGUGCAAAUAGAAUCAAAAGUUCCUGAUAUAGAAUAAGCAAAUGAUGGAAGAAGCCAAGUUUCCUGAGUGGCCACUAGGAAAACUCUGUCUUCUUUAUCAAAACUAUGAGGUUCCUGACCCUUGGAGAUGAGAGUAUAAUUAAAACUGCAAUUAGCAAGUAGAUAAUCAGGAGCGGUGAAAAUACAAAAGAAGAAACUGAGAAGAGCUAUUAUGUUAAAUCAGAAUCUAAAUAUAGUUUUCUGUAGUCUAAAAAUAAAGGAAGCAUUCUAUUAAUU
rnacentral:lncRNA from 1 species